ensembl:lncRNA
GGGAAUAUUUCUAAAUUCCAAAAGUAUGCUGAUCCGCUGUCUUGAUAACAGGGAACAAAGGGAGGGUGAUAUACCAAAAAGAGGAGAAUGAGGGGGUGAUAUACCAAAAAGAGGAGAAUGAGGUGGUGAUAUACCAAACAGAAUGAGGUGGUGAUAUACCAAACAGAAUGAUUUGGUGAUAUACCAAAUAGAGAGAGGAGAAUGAGCUGGUGAUAUACCAAACAGAAUGAUUUGGUGAUAUACCAAAUAGAGAGAGGAGAAUGAGCUGGUGAUAUACCAAACAGAAUGAGGUGGUGAUAUACCAAAAAGAGGAGAAUGAGGUGGUGAUAUACCAAACAGAGGAGAAUGAGG